rnacentral:rRNA from 1 species
CGCAAGCCUGAUGCAGCCAUGCCGCGUGUAUGAAGAAGGCCUUCGGGUUGUAAAGUACUUUCAGCAGUGAGGAAGGUGGAUAUGUUAAUAGCAUAUUCAUUUGACGUUAGCUGCAGAAGAAGCACCGGCUAACUCCGUGCCAGCAGCCGCGGUAAUACGGAGGGUGCGAGCGUUAAUCGGAAUUACUGGGCGUAAAAGCGCAUGCAGGUGGUUUGUUAAGUCAGAUGUGAAAGCCCCGGGGCUCAACCUCGGAAUUGCAUUUGAAACUGGCAAACUAGAGUACUGUAGAGGGGGUAGAAUUUCAGGUGUAGCGGUGAAAUGCGUAGAGAUCUGAAGGAAUACCGGUGGCGAAGGCGGCCCCCCUGGACAGAUACUGACACUCAGAUGCGAAAGCGUGGGGAGCAAACAGGAUUAUAUACCCUGGUAG